rnacentral:rRNA from 1 species
CCUACGGGUGGCAGCAGUGAGGAAUAUUGGUCAAUGGGCGCGAGCCUGAACCAGCCAAGUCGCGUGAAGGAUGACUGCCCUAUGGGUUGUCAACUUCUUUUAUAAAGGAAUAAAGUGAGGCACGUGUGCCUUUUUGUAUGUACUUGAUGAAUAAGCAUCGGCUAACUCCGUGCCAGCAGCCGCGGUAAUACGGAGGAUCCGAGCGUUAUCCGGAUUUAUUGGGUUUAAAGGGUGCGUAGGUGGGUUGUUAAGUCAGUUGUGAAAGUUUGCGGCUCAACCGUAAAAUUGCAAUUGAUACUGGCAGUCUUGAGUACAGUUGAGGUAGGCGGAAUGCGUGGGGUAGCGGUGAAAUGCUUAGAUAUCACGAAGAACUCCGAUUGCGAAGGCAGCUUACUAGACCGCCACUGACAUUGAUGCUCGAAAGUGUGGGUAUCGAACAGGAUUAGAUACCCUUGUAGUC